rnacentral:lncRNA from 1 species
AUUCUGUGUCAUCUUCUCAUAUAUUCUGAUGGUUUUCUUUUCAUAUCAGGGCUCAAAUGUGCCUGGGACAAAGGGAGAUCAGGGCGAGAGAGGUUUUACUGGGCCUGAGGGUCCCAAAGGUUUGAAGGGGGAACCUGCCCAGAAGGGUGAAAAAGUAUGCAAGCCAUAAACUGAAUCAUGGCUGGUGCACUCGAUCAUUCAUGCAUAAUUUCUAGCAUAAACUGGGUUUCGUAAACUCUAAUUCUAAUUCUUAUUCUUUGCUCUUUUACAGGGUGAGCCAGCUAUAGGAGUUCUUGGCCCAGUAGGACCCAAAGGAGAGCAGGGAGGUCGGGGCCCCCCUGGCUUGAGGGGAAGUUCAGGCACCAAGGGGGAUCAGGGUGAAGCAGGUGAACGAGGGGAGGAUGGGAGAGCAGGCUCACCAGGACCCAAAGGCCCACGUGGGGCAGAGGGAGAAAAAGGAGACAAAGGAGAUGAGGGAACCCCAGGAAUGACAGGGCUACCAGGCAAACCUGGAGAAAGGGGUCUGAAGGGCUUAGCAGGACAGCUGGGACAGCCUGGAGAGAAAGGAGACAUGGGGGAUCCUGGAGAGAAUGGACAGAAUGGGGGGGCAGGAC